rnacentral:rRNA from 1 species
GACGAACGCUGGCGGCGUGCUUAACACAUGCAAGUCGAACGGAUCUUCUCUUGACAGUAAUGUUGGGGGUUGGUUAGUGGCGAACGGGUGAGUAACACGUGAGAAACCUGCCCUGAAGACGGGGAUAACUGACCGAAAGGUCUGCUAAUACCCGAUGUCCUCUUACUGUCGCAUGGUGGUUUGAGGAAAUGGAUUCCGCUUUGGGGGGGUCUCGCGGGCGAUCAGCUUGUUGGUGAGGUAAUGGCUCACCAAGGCGACGACGGCUAGCUGGUCUGAGAGGACGACCAGCCACACUGGUACUGAGACACGGCCCAGACUCCUACGGGAGGCAGCAGUGGGGAAUCUUGCGCAAUGGGCGGAAGGCUGACGCAGCAACGCCGCGUGUGGGAUGACGGCUUUCGGGUUGUAAACCACUUUCAGCAGGAACGAAAUUGACGGUACCUGCAGAAGAAGCACCGGCCAACUACGUGCCAGCAGCCGCGGUAA